rnacentral:lncRNA from 1 species
UGAAGAUUAAAUACGAUAGAACAAAAUUAUUUGAUCAUAGAAUGCAAGGCCUUGCGAUGGUCUAUGCUAUGAUAAAAAUACAAGGACUAUUUGGUUGGGAACAAAUUUUAAUUUAUUUUUGAUCAUCUUAAGUUACUUCACCUAGUAAAUUAAUCCAUGAUUACUAGAUGCAUUGCCUAAAAGAUAAUAUUGCUCAUGGAAUAUGACUUCAAAGUUAUUCAUAUCAACUAGAAAUAAAACAUAAUUGCCUAUUAUCUCUCAAAAGCUUCCAAUAUGACAUUAGACUUGGAUAUUGACAAAUUGUUCCUUCAUCUAUACUUAUGUAGUGCUAUUAUGUAUGUAACCUUGUUCUUAAAUGAUUAGAUGCACAAUA